ensembl:lncRNA
AGUGCUCACAGACCGGCCUGCUUCUCUGAAAUCAUGCAGGACUCUGAAACUCUUCUCAAACUUCUCUGCUGUGUAGGUAUCAUGCAGCAAAUGACCUUUGUAACGAGUGACCUGACUGGAGAUGACCUCAGCUGUCCUGAUCACAAAUCCCACUGUGUCCAGGAGUCACAGGAUGAAGAUGAGUCAGUUGCGAUGGUGGAUAUAGAAGAUGAAAAUAAAAAAGUGAAGACUGACACAGAAAGAAACAUUCGUCAGUGCCAACAUAUGAUGUAAUUUCCUUUGUCACCUGUUGAUUUAAGCAGGCCAGAUUCACAGACACUAGCAAAUGGAUCUUUGGAAAGACUUUCCAAAUUAGAGAUGGCAACAUUGAGGUGCCAUGCUGAUUCUACAUAUGAAAUCAAAUCUGAAAGGACCGAAGCCUCUAGUUUUGACCAAGAGAAGGCAGGUGGAGGUGGGAUAUACAUGAAGUAAACUUUAAUUUCCUCUCUCGCCAUCCACCCGACGAAAAACAACUCAAUAAUUUAUUUUUCCAAAGAACACAAGCAUGCUUGACCCUGAACCUCAGACCGUAAGCGUAAGAAAUAUCGAUUCUACAGCAGGUAGUUCGGUUUCACAAUCUAAAGAGUCUUUCAAGAUGAACAAGAUGAGGUCAAAUUAGAGGUCAAAGGUCAAAGUAAUAAGAAGCCCUUGCAGACACUACAGUCAUCUGUCAUAAUUCUGAAGAACAGUACAGAGCUUGCCAUUUCAG